rnacentral:rRNA from 1 species
AGAGAGAGACAUGCGCGCAUAUCAAUAAGCGGAGGAAAAGAAACUAACUAGGAUUCCCUCAGUAACGGCGAGUGAAGCGGGAAGAGCUCAAAUUUGAAAUCUUCAAGGUUCUACCUUGACGAAUUGUAGUUUAAAGAAGUGUUUUCUGUUGGAGUUUUGGUAAAAGUUCUUUGGAAUAGGACAUCAUAGAGGGUGAGAAUCCCGUAUUUGACCAUUUACUUUCAGCUUUGUGAUACACUUUCAAAGAGUCGGAUUGUUUGGGAAUGCAGUCCAAAAUGGGUGGUAAAUUUCAUCUAAAGCUAAAUAUUGGCGAGAGACCGAUAGCGAACAAGUACCGUGAGGGAAAGAUGAAAAGAACUUUGAAAAGAGAGUUAAACAGUACGUGAAAUUGUCAAAAGGGAAGCGUUUGACACCAGUGUUGUUUUCUCGAAAAUCAAUUAAAAAAGGCAGGAUUUUGUGUUGUAUUGACUUUAUCAGCUUUCUGCACUCUUUUCUUGUCUUUCUAAUGCACUUUUCGUUUAACAAGUCAACAUCAAUUUCUUUUGUUGUAAAAGGGUCAUUGGAAGGUGGCUUUCUUUUCGGAGAAAGUGUUUAUAGCCUUUGGCCUCUGCAAUCGGAGAGAUUGAGGUCUGCAGCGUAGAUCCUUCGGGGUUAGAUACAUUUGUGCUAAGUUAUAGCCUUUCAUAGACAACUUGUUGACUAUGAUCAGUCAUGUAGCUUACUCGCUUAUGCUAUUUUACCUACGCUUAGGAUGUUGAUGUGAUACUGCGAGCA